GACGAACGCUGGCGGCGUGCUUAACACAUGCAAGUCGAACGGAAAGGCCCUGCUUUUUUGGGGUGCUCUAAUUGCGAACGGGUGAGUAACACGUGAGUAACCUGCCCUUUACUUUGUGAUAACUUCAGGAAACUGGGGCUAAUACCGGAUAGGUGUUCCUGCUGCAUGGGGGGGGUUGGAAAGUUUCGGCGGUUGGGGAUGGAUUCGCGGCUUAUCAGCUUGUUGGUGGGGUAGUGGCUUACCAAGGCUUUGACGGGUAGCCGGCCUGAGAGGGUGACCGGCCACAUUGGGACUGAGAUACGGCCCAGACUCCUACGGGAGGGAGCAGUGGGGAAUAGUGCACUAUGGGCGGAAGGCUGAUGCAGCAACGCCGCGUGCGGGAUGACGGCCUUCGGGUUGUAAACAGCUUUCGCCUGUGACGAAGCGUGAGUGCCGGAAAUGGGUAAAGAAGCACCGGCUAACUACGUG
rnacentral:rRNA from 1 species